GAUGAAGAACGUAGCGAAAUGCGAUAAGUAAUGUGAAUUGCAGAAUUCAGUGAAUCAUCGAAUCUUUGAACGCACAUUGCGCCCGCUAGUAUUCUGGCGGGCAUGCCUGUCCGAGCGUCAUUUCAACCCUCAAGCCCCCGGGCUUGGUGUUGGGGAUCGGCGAGCCUCCGCGCCCGCCGUCCCCUAAAUCUAGUGGCGGUCUCGCUGUAGCUUCCUCUGCGUAGUAGCACACCUCGCACUGGGAAACAGCGCGGCCACGCCGUUAAACCCCCAACUUCUGAACGUUUGACCUCGGAUCAGGUAGGAAUACCCGCUGAACUUAAGCAUAUCAAUAGCGGGGA
rnacentral:misc_RNA from 1 species